rnacentral:rRNA from 1 species
GACGAACCGUGCGAACGUUGUUCGGAUUCACUGGGCGUAAAGAGCGUGUAGGCGGCCAAACAGGUCAGCUGUGAAAACUCGAGGCUCAACCUCGAGACGUCGGUUGAAACCGUUUGGCUAGAGUCCGGAAGGGGAGAGUGGAAUUCCCGGUGUAGCGGUGAAAUGCGCAGAUAUCGGGAAGAACACCCGUGGCGAAGGCGGAUCUCUGGACAGUUACUGACACUGAGGCACGAAGGCCAGGGGAGCAAACGGG